AGACGGAGGGUGCAAGCGUUAAUCGGAAUUACUGGGCGUAAAGCGCUCGUAGGCGGCUUGUUAAGUCGGAUGUGAAAGCCCUGGGCUCAACCUGGGAACUGCAUUCGAUACUGGCAGGCUAGAGUAUAGUAGAGGCAAGUGGAAUUCCGGGUGUAGCGGUGAAAUGCGUAGAUAUCCGGAGGAACAUCAGUGGCGAAGGCGACUUGCUGGACUAAUACUGACGCUGAGGAGCGAAAGCGUGGGGAGCAAACAGGAUUAGAAACCCGAGUAGUCC
rnacentral:rRNA from 1 species